UAAAGGAAAAAUAUAUAUUCAUUAAGAAUCAUAAGAUACAACACUUUAUGAUAGUCAUAGGUUACUAAUAAGCAAUCAAAUGAUACUAGGAAACAAAUAAAACAAUAUAAAUUGUAAAUAUACAAGCAAUAUGGUUAUAGUGGGAAGAAAUAGGUACUAGGAAGAAUGAGAACAAGAAG